CCUACGGGAGGCAGCAGUGAGGAAUAUUGGUCAAUGGACGAGAGUCUGAACCAGCCAAGUAGCGUGAAGGAUGACUGCCCUAUGGGUUGUAAACUUCUUUUAUAUGGGAAUAAAAUGUUCCACGUGUGGGAUUUUGUAUGUACCAUAUGAAUAAGGAUCGGCUAACUCCGUGCCAGCAGCCGCGGUAAUACGGAGGAUCCGAGCGUUAUCCGGAUUUAUUGGGUUUAGGGGAGCGUAGGUGGAUUGUUAAGUCAGUUGUGAAAGUUUGCGGCUCAACCGCAAAAUUGCAGUUGAAACUGGCAGUCUUGAGUACAGUAGAGGUGGGCGGAAUUCGUGGUGUAGCGGUGAAAUGCUUAGAUAUCACGAAGAACUCCGAUUGCGAAGGCAGUUCACUGGACUGCAACUGACACUGAGGCUCGAAAGUGUGGGUAUCAAACAGGAUUAGAUACCCCUGUAGUC
rnacentral:rRNA from 1 species